UACAGAGGUGGCAAGCGUUGUUCGGAAUUACUGGGCGUAAAGGGCGCGUAGGCGGUUCGGUAAGUCCCGUGUGAAAUCCCUCGGCUCAACUGAGGAACUGCACGGGAGACUGCCGGGCUUGAGUUCGGGAGAGGGAAGCGGAAUUCCGGGUGUAGCGGUGAAAUGCGUAGAUAUCCGGAGGAACACCGGUGGCGAAGGCGGUUCUCUGGGCAUUACCUGACGCUGAGGAGCGAAAGUGUGGGGAGCGAACAGG
rnacentral:rRNA from 1 species